UACGUAGGGUGCGAGCGUUAUUCGGAAUUACUGGGCGUAAAGCGUGCGCAGGCGGUUUUGUAAGUCCGAUGUGAAAGCCCCGGGCUUAACCUGGGAAUGGCAUUUGGGACUGCAAGGCUUGAGUGCGGCAGAGGAGACUGGAAUUCCUGGUGUAGCAGUGAAAUGCGUAGAUAUCAGGAGGAAUACCGAUGGCGAAGGCAGGUCUCUGGGCUGACACUGACGCUCAUGCACGAAAGCGUGGGGAGCAAACAGG
rnacentral:rRNA from 1 species